rnacentral:lncRNA from 1 species
CGAUAAGAAUCUCACUCUAAAAACCCUGGGUUAAUCAUGGUCUAAAGCAUAAGUUAAUUUUCUAAUAAAAUUCUGACACAUGGCAUAAUUAUAAAAAAAAAAUCAUUUAAAAAUAAUAAUGCAAAAUAAAAUUGUAUCCUACACCCUCAAUCCUCUAUCGUCUCUUUUCUUCCACAACCUUUUCUUUUUCCUAUUCCUAUACAUUCCUAAAAUUAGAUAACUGGCAGUCAAACUCUCAAUCGAUCGUAAGUAGAUUA